UUUUAACCGCGCGAAGGUAGCGUAAUCACUUGUUUUCUAAAUAAAGACUAGUAUGAACGGCCACACGAGGACUUAACUGUCUCCUUUGUCUAAUCAGUGAAACUGAUCCCCCCGUGCAGAAGCGGGGAUAACACCAUAAGACGAGAAGACCCUAUGGAGCUUUAAACCAAACUAACUACCUCCCUUAAACCUCUAAGGAGCUAAUUUGACAAGGUUAGAUUUAUUUAGGUUUUAGGUUGGGGCGACCAUGAAGAAAAACUUAACCUUCUUGACGAUUUACAAACCUAGAGCUACAGCUCUAAGUAUUAAGAUACUUAACCCUCAUUGACCCACUUUGUGAUCAACGGACCAAGUUACCCUAGGGAUAACAGCGCAAUCCAUUUCAAGAGUCCUUAUCGACAAAUGGGUUUACGACCUCGAUGUUGGAUCAGGGCACCCAAGUGGUGCAACCGCUACUAACG
rnacentral:rRNA from 1 species